AGUCAUAUGCUUGUCUCAAAGAUUAAGCCAUGCAUGUCUCAGUACGAGCCGAAUUAAGGUGAAACCGCGAAAGGCUCAUUAAAUCAGUUAUGGUUCCUUAGAACGUACCCACGCUUACUUGGAUAACUGUGGUAAUUCUAGAGCUAAUACAUGCAAACAGAGCUCCGACCGGAGACGGGAGGAGUGCUUUUAUUAGAUCAAAACCAAUCGGCGGCGGGCGCGCGCUCGCGCGCGUCCGCACGCCGCUCGACCUGGUGACUCUGAAUAACUUUUCGCUGAUCGCACGGUCCAGCACCGGCGACGCUUCUUUCAAAUGUCUGCCUUAUCAACUGUCGAUGGUAGGUUCUGCGCCUACCAUGGUCGUAACGGGUAACGGGGAAUCAGGGUUCGAUUCCGGAGAGGGAGCCUGAGAAACGGCUACCACAUCCAAGGAAGGCAGCAGGCGCGCAAAUUACCCACUCCCGGCACGGGGAGGUAGUGACGAAAAAUAACGAUACGGGACUCAUCCGAGGCCCCGUAAUCGGAAUGAGUACACUUUAAAUCCUUUAACGAGGACCCAUUGGAGGGAAAGUCUGGUGCCAGCAGCCGCGGUAAUUCCAGCUCCAAUAGCGUAU
rnacentral:rRNA from 1 species